rnacentral:rRNA from 1 species
CCUACGGGAGGCAGCAGUCGGGAAUAUUGCGCAAUGGAGGAAACUCUGACGCAGUGACGCCGCGUAUAGGAAGAAGGUUUUCGGAUUGUAAACUAUUGUCGUUAGGGAGGAUAAAAGACUGUACUUAAGGAGGAAGCCCCGGCUAACUCAGUGCCAGCAGCCGAGGUAAUACAGAGGGGGCACGCGUUAUCCGGAAUUAUUUGGUGUAAAGGGUGCGUAGACGGAAUAACAAGUUGGUUGUGAAAUCCCUCGGCUCAACUGAGGAACUGCAACCAAAACUAUUCUCCUAGAGUGUAGGAGAGGAAAGGGGAAUUCCUGGUGUAGCGGUGAAAUGCUUAGAGAUUAGGAGGAACACCAGUGGCGAAGGCGACUUUCUGGACGAUAACUGACGUUGAGGCACGAAAGUGUGGGGAGCAAACAGGAGUAGAUACCCUUGUAGUC